UGGGGAAUAUUGCACAAUGGGCGAAAGCCUGAUGCAGCGACGCCGCGUGAAGGAUGAAGGUCUUCGGAUUGUAAACUUCUAUCAGCAGGGAAGAAUAAAUGACGGUACCUGACUAAGAAGCUCCGGCUAACUACGUGCCAGCAGCCGCGGUAAUACGUAGGGAGCGAGCGUUAUCCGGAUUUACUGGGUGUAAAGGGUGCGUAGGCGGUUUGUUAAGUCAGAAGUGAAAUUUAGGGGCUCAACCUCUAAGCUGCUUCUGAAACUGAUGAACUAGAGUGUGGGAGAGGAAAGUGGAAUUCCGAGUGUAGCGGUGAAAUGCGUAGAGAUUCGGAGGAACACCAGUAGCGAAGGCGGCUUUCUGGACCAUAACUGACGCUGAGGCACGAAAGCGUGGGGAGCAAACA
rnacentral:rRNA from 2 species